AUUAACUGUGAAAUCAAAACUAAAAUUGUGUGAUUUUUUUGUAUUCUCAGUGAAUAAAACUGGUCAUUGUACACUUUCAAAUCAUAACAUUACUUCUCAGUUAAAAGACAUACAGAAAUGAUGCAGAUACCAAUGCCAUGACAAUAAAUUGGGACUAAAGAAACUUCUUCCAUCAAUUGACAAAUGUACAAUUAUGUUUUAACCAUACUACUAUUGAGUAAAACUAAUUUUUUUAAAUUAUUUAAAGUUACAUGGGUAGUAAUUAAGAUAUUUUAAAAAUUAUUUUAAAAGGGGUACAUUUUUAUAUCUCAGCAAUAAUCCUUUAUUUGUUGGGGAACCUAAUUGGAAUAGAAGACAGAUAUGAAACAAAUAUUCAUGUGUGUGCUUUCAUAUGUUUUUCUCUUCAAUUUUUUACAUUGAAAAAUUUCUAACCAUAGAAAAUUUAAGAGUAGUCAUUAUUAAUAUUCACAUACAUUCCACUCAUAUUCAUUAGCAUUUUGCAAUCUUUGAUUGCUGAGCCAUUUAAAAACAAGUUGUAGAUAUUAUCACUUAUCAAUUCCCUAAGUCUUUGGAAUGCAUUUCCUAAGAAUGAGGAUAUAUUCUUGUAUAGCUAUAAUAUAAUGAUUAUAUCAAAACAUUUAACAAUGAUGCCAUAAAGUUUUUGUAUUAAUAAUAAUUUUAUAUCAUUUUCAAAUUUUCCCAGUAAGAUCUUUUAUGAGCUUUUGUUUGUAUAUUUAUUUAUUACUUUUUUAGCUAGUGUCCAAUAAACAUUGUGUGUAGAAUUUAAUUGUCAGGUCUCUUUAGUCUUCUGAAAUCUAGAACAGUCUUCUGGCAUUGUUUUCCUUCGUGACAUUGAGAUUUUGAAGACUACCUACAUGUUAGUUAUUUUGAAAAAUAUUCCC
rnacentral:lncRNA from 1 species